rnacentral:lncRNA from 1 species
GUAUAUAUAAGUAUUUCAGUUCUUAUUUCCAUUUGAACAAAAGAUUAAUCAUUUAAUCAAAUUAUGUUAUAGGCAAUGGAUUCUAUAUCUUGUAAUCAGAUCCAAAUUAAUGUCUGAAAGGAAAGAGUGAGCCAUGGAGACAGAACUCCAGGAGUAUUUCAGAUGGAUGUGAUGGUGUCAUUUUAUCUCCACCCCAGGAACUUGUGUCAACAGCUCCCUCCACGGACCAUUCACUAGAGUUGCAAUGUCACACAGUGUCAGAAUCGGGUGUGUGUGAUUGUGUGUGUAUGUGUGUGUGUG